CAGAUUGUUUUCAUAUAAACUAUUUUCAUAAGACACCGUAGAAAGUUUAUCAAAGUAAGCUUAAAACAACUUAUGAAAGUAUCAUAAACAUUUCUAUAAAUUCUCUCAACCAGACUCACAAGUGUUUAUUUAGUUGAUAAAUUCAAAUAGGUAAAUUUUGUUUUCAUAAACCAAAGUUUUAAAAAGAGAGGUCCAUAUUAGGACCUCCCAAGUUAUAAACUAAAGUCAAAUUGUUUU
rnacentral:lncRNA from 1 species